rnacentral:lncRNA from 1 species
CAUGGAAGUUCCCAGCCUAGGGGUCAAAUCUGAGCUGCAGCUUGCUGGCCUACACCACAGCCACAGCAAUACCAGAUCCAAGCUGCAUCUGUGACCUAUGCCACAGCUUGCAGCAAUGCGAGAUCCUUAACCCACUGAACGAGGCCAAGGAUCGAACCCACAUCCUCAUGGAUACUGGUUGGGUUCUUAACCUGCUAAGCCACAAUGGGAAUUCCACAUGGCACACAUUUAAAAAAAGAUACACUGAUUCUAGGAAGACUUUGGAAAUGAGAAGAGCCUUAAGCCAGACCAUGUGCAUAAAGGAACCCCCAAGAUGUGUCUUUAUUGUUGUCAAGCUUGUCCCAAAAUUAUUUGUGCAACUCAAUCACAAUAAAUAUCGUUUUUAUAAACGCUCCAGUUAUAAAAAAUGUCAAGAAAGCAAAACACGUCAGCAGUGUUUUCAGCCAACUAAACCUAUCAGUCAACUUUUAAACAGAUUUUAAACAGUUUAACCAUUUCUUAUUGAAAUUAUAAGAACAGAGUCAACAAAAUCUAAUUCUUUUCUGGAUGACUCAGGGAUCCUCAUACAAAACCCCUUCAUGAGGAGACAAGGCCAGGCUGUUAGUGGCACCAGGCCAGGACAGUCCCUGGAAAUGAACCACUUUACAGCCGCACCUGUUUCUUCAUAAAACGUGCACACACCCUGUGUAGCUGGGACCACUAAGAUGGCACACUGAGAUGGGCAUUCUAUUACAUUAAUUACUAAAUUCUAGAGAGAAGCCUGUCUACUUUUUCUGAAAAUGUUUGCUGCCAGCCUUGCCAUGAUAUCCUUUUCCUUUUCAGAGGCAUUUAGAACCCUGUGCCACCUGGUGCUUGCUCCAGGCCAGACUCAGCUAAGUAGUUUAUGUGCCCGACACGGUCCAGGGCUUAGCACCCGCCCAGCCGUGGUAAUGUUCCCGUCCCCAUCUUACAGAUGAGGAAUCUGAAGCCGACAGGGCCGAAUCCCUCGCACAAGGUUAUCCAGCUGGCAGUGGGGGACCUGGCCUUUGAAUGACCAGGGUGUCCAUCCUCUGAGAUUUUGGCUAAGCUCCUGCAUCACCUGCAGUACAUCUGUGGGCAGCUGGGGGAGGGGCAUCCCUCAUCACCCGCAACCCUGUACAAGAGGACUUCCUCCUCCCUCAGAAAUUUGUCCCCACGGUGCUCAAAAUCCCCUUUUGCAUCCAAACCAAAGUUUGGUGGCUCCUCAUACUGAGGUAGGGGAAAAUCUAUAUUUACGGAUAUUUGAACUAAUCAAAGCAGCUCAAUUAUGCUGCACAACCAAGUGCAAAUUACUGUUUGUCUGCUGUGAUCAGCACCUCCCAUUUGCAUGGGGCAACUUACAAAGCCUACCUUUGAGGGCCUAAUUCUCACCAUGACUCAGGGAAACACCAUUGUUAUUAUUAUUAUUGUUAUUGUUGUUGUUGUUAUUCCUACUCAUCUUAGAUGGGAAAGAACUUGGCAGCUAUUGGACAUGGUCAAGGUCAUACUGCUGGUGUAUAUACAUUACAUAAGCAGAUAUUGUAUCUACAUAAUUAAAGUUUCAGGGGGAGGGUGGUUAAGGGAAAGAUGUCUACAAAAGCUCCUUGGUGGGGCUGUUAUUCAAACGAGUUUGAGAAAUACUACCUCAUCCCACAGUGGCCUCCCUGCCUUGGUCAGGACCAUGUUGCCUGUAAUUAAUACAUUUCUUUUUAGAAAGGACAUACACUAGGAUCUAUUUAAAAAAACACCUCUAGAAAAUAAUUAGUACAGUCGGUCUCUUUCUUAGUUUUUCUGCUGUCUCUGGGCAGCAUGAUUGAUACUGAUGAGGACAUGCCAUGAUUACUGCCCAACAGAAAGUGGCAAAGACAUAAAAAAGGGUACCACUACCUUAAGAGAACACCUUAAACACACUCAAACACACACACACACACACACAAACCAUUUGCUACCUAUCCAAGGGAAAACAUCAAAGGAAAAAAUAAAUCUAUUCAUAUAAUACAUUUGCUACUAGAAGAGAUGUGAUUUCCUUUAUGCCAAACUCAAAGACCUCUGUGAAACAUGAGAAGCCUUUUGAAUAAAUACUCCUAAAUGGCCUAGACAGCUGAAAAAUGGUAACCUCCUACUAUAUUAGGGCUCUUUAAAAGAUUUUCCCCUCCUUAAAUAUUCAUGUUUCAAUUAAAAUGUACACCUCCUUUAUUAAGCACACCAGGCCCCGGGUUCAGAUCAAUAACAGCAGCACUAGAUGGAAUUCUAAUGAAGAUAAACAACGCCGAGUCCUCCCCAGCUUCCCCUGGGCACGGAUGCACAAAGCCUCCUUUCACAACUUGCUCCAAGAUAUUUUACAGUCACCUGCCUCAUGCAAAUGAGGAGAUUCAUGUUUAUUCAUGGUGAGAGUUACAGACCACCUUUCAUUCCCUAGGCCAGCUCAGCUAACCAACAGAGUGCUGUCUGCACCA